rnacentral:snoRNA from 1 species
GCUCUGCCAGGGCUCCCGGGAGCCAGGGGAGGCGCUUCCCCGGAAGCUGC